UACGGGGGGAGCAAGCGUUGUUCGGAUUUACUGGGCGUAAAGGGCGCGUAGGCGGCCACUGCAAGUCGGUUGUGAAAUCUCCGGGCUUAACUCGGAAAGGUCAAUCGAUACUGCAGGGCUAGAGUGCAGAAGGGGCAACUGGAAUUCUCGGUGUAGCGGUGAAAUGCGUAGAUAUCGAGAGGAACACCUGCGGCGAAGGCGGGUUGCUGGGCUGACACUGACGCUGAGACGCGAAAGCGUGGGGAGCGAACAGG
rnacentral:rRNA from 1 species